CAGCUGCUCUCCUUCAGCAGGACUGCUCGAAUGCUGUUUGCCAGGUGUUUUGAGGGAGAGGAAAGACCCAGACAGGAAGUCUGUACCUGAUUUCUGGCUGAGUGGUUCUGCAGAGCAGAGAUUUUUGGAAGACAGAGCAACAGACCUGUCAGCACUGGGUUGAGAUGAGGGAAGUGUGGAAAACCAGCGUCAGGUGCAGGACAGGGUGUGCCAGGGGAAAAAUACUCCAGACCAUCCUAAGCUGCGCAGGUCAAGGAUGCCUCUGUCUCUCUGUCUUUGCCUUUUGCAAUUCAGUGCACAGCACAGUUUAAUUUGCAGGGGCUGGGACGUGCUAAACAGCCCCAACAACUGUGCAUUUUGGGUGGUGACACAGUUGGAUGUUUUUGGAAGGGCUCCUGCACACACUUGGUGCUUCAAUCCUGCUGUGCUGUGUGAAGAUGCACAUUUUGGGAGCAGGGAUUUGUGUCUGCCUCAGCUGCCCAUGCAAAAACUACCCCUGAAGGUGGAUGUGAGGAUACAGCUCUGUGAGACUAUAAGCUCUGAAUGCACAGAGGUUACUCAGUGCACUCAGGACUGCUGAAUGAGAAGUCAGAGAUAUUCAAACUCAUUGCCAGUCAAAACGUGGUGAGAGAAACCUUGCUUCCCACAGAGCCAUCCCAUGUCUUAUCCCACCACUGGGAUGUGUGAAUUCCAGCUGUGGCAACAGCUGUAGGAGCUUGUAAAAGCCCCCUGAGAGCUGUAAAAUCAACUGCAAUCAAGGGCUUGUUUCCUGUUUGAACUACUUCCAUCUCCCAAAUUAAAACUGAUGUAGAGGAAGAGAGAGUGAGCGAAAGUGUUCAGCAAACAGGCUUCCCCCUCAGAGUGGUGAUAUUUCUGCAACCCUGGCAAAUGUGAUCUACAGAAAACCUAAAUAAUUCUGUAGUUUCUCUGUCUUUGCAGACUGGAGAUGUCUGGCACGGACAGAGCACAGAGCAACUCCCCAUCAGCUGGAUAUUUUUAGGAAUUAUCUUAUUCUGACAAGUUUUGAAGUUUUGGGUUUUGCAGCUGGUAGGAAGGCCCCAUGUUGCUCGACUGCCCCUCUGGAACACAGAGCCCUUCCUGGUAUUUUCUGGUGCCUGCUGGGAUGCUGGCUGGCUCCCUGUGCCAGCAGCCUAGGUGCUGGGGAGAGAUGCAUACUGUCCCUGUAUGUGAUGAUUUCAAGCUCCUGAAUCAGUGCAGGUCUGCACUGAUUGCUUGCAGGUACGGGAAGAAGAGGUGUCACAUUGCAGAAGGGCUGAAAAAAAUGACAAUAUUUAUUUUAAGCUCAGUGUUGAAUGGAACAAGGAGUAGGGUCCAGGCUAUGCAGCAAAGCAGCUCUGGUUGCUUGAGAGUUCAAUAGCAAAAUCUGUUAAUCAAACUUUAACCCACCAGGCUUUGCUGGCCUGUGAGCACCAUGCAGUGCUGCAGCCACUGCUCCCCAUCACAGUUUGGAAGAACAGCACUGGGUUUUCCAGGUCUGCACCUCCCUGCUGUCACCACCUCCUGUUGUGUUCUCCCUGUGUGCUGCUCUUCCCAUCUGCUCUUGACCCCUGUGAGGAGCUGAUUGGGUCUUAAAGAAGAUCUGAUGAUGGAAACCAGUUUUAGAGUGGAGAUCUGGUAAAAGUUCAUUUUGGAAAGGGCUGUCAAACACUGGCACAGCUGCCCAAGGCAGUGGUGGGUAGUGAAUCCCACCCAUUCCUGGAAGGAUUUAAAUGCCGUGUGGAUGUGGCACUUGGGGACAUGGGUUAGUGGCAAGUUUAGCAGUGCUGGGGGAAUGGUUGGAGUUGAGGAUCCUAGAGGACUUCUCCAGUCAGAGGGAUUCUGUGCUUCUGUGAAUCAGGAGGGAAAGUUUGUGCUCCAGUAAAGAGGAUGCUCCAGUGCAGGUGGCAGCGUGGCUCUGACCUCUGCUGCAAAUGUCCACUGGGAAAGCAAAUCCCUUCCCUCUAGGUUCCCUCCGUUCACCUUUCUAAUUAUUAAUGAGGAGUCAUUACCAGGUCAGUCAUCCUGGAGCCACCAAUACCCAAGCCAAGACAUCUAAAGGGCUUGCCCCAGCUUUUUCUGUAAAGUUCUGUGACUGAUCUUAUCAACAGAAGCACCAAUGUCUACGGGAGAAGAGUUGAGAACUUCCGCUCAAAGAGAAAAGUUUCCUUCUUUUUUUUUCUUUUUAGGGGAUAUGAAGCAAAUGCCAGAGUAAGAGAAAUAAUAUUUGAAGCAAUAAAGUAAACAUUUUUCUUGGAA